GCCCGCUGCUGUGCUGCCGACCAGAACUACCGCCUCCACUAACUCUGCUCCACCGGCGCAUCCCCCUCCCACUGCAGUGCAUUGCAGGUCCCCGGAAGCGCCCCAACUCCGUCCAGUGUGCCACCGCCGGUCGCCGCAUUGGUCGCUGUCGCCUCCGCCCCGACCCCGCGCUUCCUCGCGUCGCCCCACCUUAUCCCUUUUCCAUCGUAGGGACUGGAAGCCCCAUCUCUUCGCUCUCCUUGCCAGAGAGAGAUAGAGCAGAAGGCCCGCGCAUCGACGGCCACGGCGCCUCUCUUCGCCCUCACCAACCAUGGAGCUUCUCUUCCCCUCACAUCACAUGGCGUCUCUCCUCCUCCUCACAUGGCACCUCUCCUCCCCCUCCGAUCGCUGAUGCAUGCCCCUUCCUCUGGCCGCCGCCCCCUCCUCUCCAUCCCUGAAGCAGCCAUCACUGGAGAUCCCCUCCAGAUCAGGUGCUCUCUCCUCCUCCUCACGUCCCUUGAUUUCUCGAAUCAUGCUCUGAUUUAGCUGCUCUGCAUUUGAGAUGCUUCAUGUCAUGUGGUGCUCUUGGUGGAAUGCUUGGAGUUUUGCAGACUUGGCCGAGAUUGCGAAUUUCCUGGGUAUAAUGCCUUCAGGCGAUUCAGGGUAGAGGUUGCUAUGGAGCGGGUGGAGCUCCUCCAUCUAAUUGCUGACUUGGUGGAAGCUAUAUUCUAUGCCGACAAUCCAGAAUGGAGAUUUAAUAUUAUCAAGCACCAUAAAGAACAAGGGAUGUUUGGUGCAAAAAAUACUUCAUUGUACAGAAAAUGUGUUGAUGAGCAGUUGGCAAAGGACUUACAACUUGUAGAUUCAACUGCAGAAACAGCCCCAAAUUUUCCUUUUCUUCUUUUUCUGUAACUGGGUUCAAUUCUUAUUUUGAAGGCUUGAUGUAGCAGGACUGCAGUUGAAGCUCUCUGAGUAUACCAAAAGGAUGUCAAAUUACAAUGGAGUGUUGGCAUUUCCAUGUUUUUAAUACUCCCUCCGUCCCAUAAUUCUUGUCGAAAUAUUACAUGUAUCUAGACACUUUUUAAGAAGAUAUACAUCCAUUUUUGGGCAAAUUUGAGACAAGAAUUAUGAAACGGAGAGAGUAUUAACAUCAUCCAAACUAUCAUGCAGCUUAGAUUUAUUAAUACAUUUUGCAUCAAUUUAUACACUUCUAUCUAAAAGUUUCUAGCAUAUCAUGUUAGUUCGUUAGUCUGCAUGAUACAUAUGAUGUUUGCACUAAUAGAUGUGAAUUAACAUGUUUCACCAAACUAUGUUGCCUUUUCUAUAAACGUGAAUUUUCGUGUGCAGGCCGUGGCAACGCACGGGCAUUGUACUAGUUUAUAUAACAAGAGUUAGGGUACAUCGACCACAAUUCACACCAAGUGAUUCAUAAGCAAAACUGUUUGGAGGAAACGGGAGAGCUUUGAGGCUAUGGUGGCCUAACUUCCCCGGGCUGUGGCCUGGGCCCGUACGCCAUGGCAGCCUCCCUUGAUCUCUCCGUCAUGGAAAGAAUGCCGCCGUUCCCUCUUCGGCGGCCCCCCACGGGUAAGGAACCGGUGGCAAGUCCACCGCCGGUGUCAACACUGCCUGAUCUCUCUGGGCUUGACAUGCGCCCGGGUGAAAAGCUCCAACGGGAGCUAUGGAAGCGUUGGAGAUCUCCCAUCACAGUUCCCGCAUCCUCCAGGCCCGACUUCUUCAUGGUGGCAUCUUUCGGCCGCUGUCGCUAUCGUCUGGAGGAAACCACGGACCAAUUUCUGUGAUUUCAACACGAACGUAUAUGCUCAGUUGGUCAUUGGAAGAGCAACACUAGUACUCCCUCACGAUCCAUAAUAAGUGUCUCAGACUUAGUACAAUUUUGUACUAACUUUGUACUAAAUCUGAGACACUUUGGAUCAGAGGGAGUAUUAGUUUGUCUGACAUGGACAAUAUCAGUGACUAAAUUCGAGAUCUUCCUCCACCGCAUUCUGUGAAUUCAAUGGCAGCCACGGACACGACAGCUAGGCCGCCGUCCCUGGGUGACUUCCUCCACUGCGUCGCCGAGGCAAUCAUGCCCGGGCUGCUUCAGCUUGCUGCCCCCAACCCGCCUCCACCUAGGCGGCCGAUGAAAAGCUUUGUUACCCUCCGCCACAGUCGUUGCCUGGCGGCGAAGAGUACAGUGGUCCCUGCCAACAUGAUGGACAAGGCCAAGCGUUUGAUCUGCAGGAAGCUUGGUUUGGUGUUUGAUGACGCCGCUUCUGAUGAUGCUGACUUGCUUGCCAGAUAUGACCGAGUCCUUCAGCAAGCCCCUAUCUGAAGCUCAUAUUGCUGCUUUGACUGCCUUGGCGCAGAGAGGCGCAGACAAGAAGAAGGGGACGGGCGUCAGGGCUGUUGCUGCUGUCUGAUGUGUCCGCUCGUCCAUCUAGUUAUCAUUAGUUGCAACUGUGUCAUGGAUCAUUGUGUAAUGCUAGUUUGGAAUGUCAGGGGGCUUAACUCCCUUGCACAUCGUUGCGCUGCAAAUAAGGUUGUCUGAUCAGCAUGCUAUAAUCGGUUGCUUUCAAGAAUCGAAGCUUGCUCAUGUUACUCUUAAUGGUAUCAAGCAGAUUUGCGGUUCACAGUUCGACAAUUUCAGUUUUGUUGCUUCAGUUGGUACUCGAGGAGGCAUUAUCACCGUCUGGUGCAACACCGAUUUUCAGAUUCUUAAUUGCAGCAGUACUCGGUCCUUGCUUGCUAUCACAUUCAUGGACAGAACUUCUGGCUAGAUAUUCUGGUUGAUCAACGUCUAUGGUCCGCAAGCCAUACCUGACAAAUUCAGUUUUAUCACGGAUCUGCGUGCUGUUCUGAUUCAGAUCAACGAACCUCUAGUUCUUGCAGGGGAUUUCAACCUUAUUGCUUCUGCCUCUGACAAAAAUAAUAGGAAUAUUCAGAGGGAUGAUGAAUGCUUUUUGAGAAAUUCAUCAAUGACUUGAUGUUGUCUGAGAUGUAUCUGCAUGGCCGUUGCUACACUUGGACAAAUGAUUAGCUAUCCAAUGUGUAAAGUUGGACCGUGUCCUUUUCAAUGCUGCCUGGAGCUCCUUCCUGCCAAAUUGUUUGCUCAAUGCUGCCUCAUCAAAUAUUUCUGACCACUGCCCUUUGGUUCUUGUCACCAAUGCCGGUUUUCAGCCCUGUCAUCGGUUCAGGUUAAAAAAUAUCUGGACAACUUUACCUGGAUUCCUUCUUACGGUGUCUGAUGCUUGGGCCAAGCCCGAUUUGUCUGCAGCCUCGGCCUUCCAGAUCCUUCAUCAAAAACUUCGUAACACUGCUGCAGCUCUGCGCCGCUGGUAUCAACGCUUUAGGCAAAACAUCAGGAUGCGUGAAUUAUUUCAGAGCUAACUUUUAUGCUAAAUAAAGCGGGUGAUCUCAGGCCUCUGUCUGCUGCCGAGCACCUC